rnacentral:rRNA from 1 species
CAGUCGCCGCGGGAACACGAAGGGUGCAAGCGUUACUCGGAAUUACUGGGCGUAAAGCGUGCGUAGGCGGUUUGUUAAGUCCGUUGUGAAAGCCCUGGGCCCAACCUGGGAAUUGCAGUGGAUACUGGCAAGCUAGAGUACGGUAGAGGAUGGUGGAAUUCCCGGUGUAGCGGUGAAAUGCGUAGAGAUCGGGAGGAACACCCGUGGCGAAGGCGGCCAUCUGGACCAGUACUGACGCUGAGGCACGAAAGCGUGGGGAGCAAACAGGAUUAGAUACCCCUGUAGUCCCUGUCUCUUAUAC